GAGUCGGAUUUUGGGGAGUUGAUGAUGAGACGAACGAACGUCUACUCCGGGUUUACAGACGUCGGAAACAACAACAGACGCUGAGGUUUAUCACGCUGCUAACCAGAAUCAUCUCCGGAAAUCGUGUGGCACGAACUGUUUGGACGCGAGAGCGGAGCGAACACUGGUGGCUGUAUAUUGUAAGAGAGACGUUCAACCCUCAGCAAUGGAUCGAAAACUUCAGAAUGAGCUACAGAACCUUCCAAUGGCUUUGUGAGGCGCUCAGGCCUUACAUCUCCAAGGAAGAAACCAGGAUGCGACGGCCUAUUCCUGUGGAGCAGAAAGUUGGUGCUGUCUUGUGGUUUCUGGGAACCACAUCAGACUAUCGCACCAUUGCUCACCUUUUUGGAAUAUCCAGAGCCUCACUGUGCAUCUUUGUCAAGGAUGUUUGUGAGGCAAUAUGUUAUCAUCUGACACCACAGUUUGUGAAGCUACCCACUGAUAUAGAGGCUACAAAUAUUAUGGAGUCAUUUAAAGAAAAAUGGGGAUACCCUAUUUGCAUAGGUGCUAUUGACGGCUCACACAUACCCAUUGUCGCACCGAAUGAGAGCCGAGUAGAUUAUUUUAAUAGAAAGGGCUGGUAUAGCAUUAAUAUGCAAGCACUGGUAGAUGACAG